UACGAAGGGGGCGAGCGUUAUUCGGAAUCACUGGGCGUAAAGCGUGCGUAGGCUGUUCUACAAGUCAGGAGUGAAAGCCCAAGGCUUAACCUUGGAAGCGCUCUUGAAACUGUAGGACUCGAGUUCGGGAGAGGAUAGCGGAAUUCUCAGUGUAGCAGUGAAAUGCGUAGAUAUUGAGAGGAACACCAGUGGCGCAAGCGGCUAUCUGGACCGACACUGACGCUGAGGCACGAAAGCGUGGGGAUCAAACAGG
rnacentral:rRNA from 1 species